rfam:Schistosoma mansoni strain Puerto Rico chromosome 4, complete genome
ACCCAGCUGAUGAGUCCUAAACGGGACGAAACGUGUGUCCUGGAU